UCUGCUCAACAUGCUGUCUCUGCUCACAUCUGGAUUCACUCUGCUGGUUCUGAUCACUGGAUCAGGUGUAAACUGCCAACAACUCACUGCAGCAAAGACUGAGGAGUUCAGUUCAGAGGGCAGCUCUGUUACUCUGACCUGCAGUUACUCCAACAAGAUAGCUCUUGGUGAUGAUUUCUUUUGGUAUCAACAAAAUCCUGGAAAACCUCCAGAGUUCAUCUACUACAUCUCAGGGCUCAACAGCUCAAGAUCAGCAGAGUCUCUGAAAUCAUCAACAAGAUUCUCCACUUACCUGAGAGGAGAGAAGCACCUGGAUCUGCUGAUCUCCUCUGCUGCAGUGACAGACUCUGCUGUGUACUACUGCGCUGUG